UACGUAGGUGGCAAGCGUUGUCCGGAUUUACUGGGCGUAAAGAGCGCGCAGGCGGUCGUUCAAGUCGCGUGUGAAAGCCCCCGGCUCAACUGGGGAGGGUCACGCGAUACUGAUCGACUCGAAGGCAGGAGAGGGUAGUGGAAUUCCCGGUGUAGUGGUGAAAUGCGUAGAUAUCCGGAGGAACACCAGAGGCGAAGGCGACCUCCUGGGUCGUACCUGACGCUGAGAUGCGAAAGCUAGGGGAGCAAACGGG
rnacentral:rRNA from 1 species